rnacentral:misc_RNA from 1 species
GAUGAAGAACGUAGCGAAAUGCGAUAAGUAUUGUGAAUUGCAGAAUUCCGUGAAUCAUCGAAUCUUUGAACGCACAUUGCGCCCCUUGGUAUUCCGGGGGGCAUGCCUGUUCGAGCGUCAUUUCAACCCUCAAGCUCUGCUUGGUCUUGGGCCGCGCCGGCGACGGCGGGCCUCAAAAACAGUGGCGGCGCCAUCUGGUUCCUCAGCGUAGUAAUUCUUCUCGCUGUUGGGCCCGGGUGGCCGCUGGCCAGCAACCCCAAAUUUUCUAUGGUUGACCUCGGAUCAGGUAGGGAUACCCGCUGAACUUAAGCAUAUCAAUAAGCGGAGGA